rnacentral:tRNA from 1 species
GCCGUUGUAGCUCAGUUGGUAGAGCACGACAUUGGUAAUGACGAGGUCGCCGGUUCAAUCCCGGCCAACGGCU